CAAUAGCGUAUAUUAAAGUUGUUGCAGUUAAAAAGCUCGUAGUUGGAUUUCGGGGUGGCCUGGCUGGUCCGCCGCAAGGUGAGUACUGGUCAGCCGCCCUUCCUCUCGAAAGCCCCGACUGCUCUUUACUGCAGUGGUCGGGUAGUUCGGGACGUUUACUUUGAAAAAAUUAGAGUGUUCAAGGCAGGCUAUCGCCUGAAUACAUUAGUAUGGAAUAAUGGAAGAGGACCUCGGUCCUAUUUUGUUGGUUUCUAGGGCCGAAGUAAUGAUUAAGAGGGACAGUUGGGGGCAUUCGUAUUUAAUUGUCAGAGGUGAAAUUCUUGGAUUUAUGAAAGACGAACUAGUGCGAAAGCAUUUGCCAAGGAUGUUUUCAUUAA
rnacentral:rRNA from 1 species